UGACUAGGACGACCCCUUUAGAACUUAAUACAUUCAGCCUGUGGUUCACAGUUCUCCACUCUCUUAUAUUUAGAUGUUAUUUUUCUGUUCUACCUUCUCUUCAUAGGAACUAAAGUGAAUUGAGUCAGAGAAAAAGAGAAAGAGAGAAGGUAACAUGGAUGCUUGUUUUCUUACCUCAAGAUCAAUCUCUGGUGUUAAAGAGCUUGUCCCGUUCAUCAAAGCGAGAAUCUUUACUUGCCCCAAGAGAAAUUCUGGCCAAUUUGUUACCAGGAAGGUUGCUUCUCCGAUCUCUGUAAAUUGUAAGUAAGAUCUCUUUCAUGGUCAUUUUGAUCUAUAAGAAUGGCCUGAGUAUCGCAAUAACAUGUCUUGGUUUGGGAAUUUGCCUGUCUUGAGUGAAAUUAUUGUAGCUGAUGAGAGCAUUUUGGUUUGAG
rnacentral:lncRNA from 1 species